UACGGAGGGGGCUAGCGUUGUCCGGAUUUACUGGGCGUAAAGAGCGCGCAGGCGGUCGAUCAAGUCGAGUGUGAAAGCCCCCGGCUCAACUGGGGAGGGUCAUUCGAUACUGAUCGACUCGAAGGCAGGAGAGGGUAGUGGAAUUCCCGGUGUAGUGGUGAAAUGCGUAGAGAUGUGGAGGAACACCGAUGGCGAAGGCAGCCUCCUGGGCCAACACUGACGCUCAUGCACGAAAGCGUGGGGAGCAAACAGG
rnacentral:rRNA from 1 species